rnacentral:rRNA from 1 species
UACGUAGGGUGCGAGCGUUGUCCGGAAUUAUUGGGCGUAAAGAGCUUGUAGGCGGUUUGUCGCGUCUGCCGUGAAAUUUCGGGGCUCAACCCCGAACUUGCGGUGGGUACGGGCAGACUAGAGUGUGGUAGGGGAGACUGGAAUUCCUGGUGUAGCGGUGAAAUGCGCAGAUAUCAGGAGGAACACCGAUGGCGAAGGCAGGUCUUUGGGCCACUACUGACGCUGAGAAGCGAAAGCAUGGGGAGCGAACAGG